AUGGCUUCCAAGCUUCAGCUCCUGUCCUCCAUUGCCACUAGAGUUGUUAUUGCUUCACUCUUCCACCCUUGUGCAUCCAUUGAGAUCCACCGUGAGCUCUCCGGCUGGUCCGAUGGCAUCGCUACGUGGUAUGGUGACGCCAAUGGCGCGGGAAGUGAAGGUGGCGCGUGCGGAUACCAGUAUGCUGUCGACCAGCCGCCGUUCUCAUCCAUGAUUGCCGCUGGCGGCCCUGUCAUAUACGACUCCGGCGAUGGCUGUGGCGCGUGCUACCGGGUGGUUUGCAGUGGCAAUCAAGCUUGCUCUGGCAUCCCGGUGACCGUCGUCAUCACGGACCAGGGCCCCGGUGGCGGCCCAUGCCUGAGCGGGCUAGUCGAUGGACAGUGCCAGAAUGAGGCAGCGCACUUCGACAUGAGCGGGACAGCAUUCGGCGCCAUGGCAAAACCUGGCCAAGCUGACCAACUCCGCGGUGCUGGCCUCAUUCAAAUCCAGUACACUCGCGUGACCUGUGACUGGACUGGAGUAGGCCUGACCUUCAAAGUGGACAGCGGCUCGAACCCGAACUACCUCGCCAUCCUGGUCGAGUACGAGGACGGCGACAGCGACCUCUACGCCGUCGACAUCAUGCAGAGCGGUGCCGGGGCAACCGGAGUGUGGAUCCCGAUGCAGCAGUCCUGGGGUGCGGUGUGGAAGCUUUCUGGGUCCACCCUCCAGGGCCCCUUCUCCAUCCGCCUGACGUUCAGGUCCGGCAAGAUGCUCGUCGCCGGCAACGCCAUACCCACCGGGUGGAACCCCGGCGUGGCGUACCAGCCAGGCGGCGUGGCGGUGAGGGAAAGAGCGAGCGGCGGCCGUCGGCGCCACGUGUUUGAAGGGGGGUUGGGCUGGCUGCAUCACCUCCUCCUGUUGCUGAUGGUGUUGUUCCAGCUGUGA
rnacentral:rRNA from 1 species